GUAUGUGAUGUAUCUCUAUCAUAUAACUCAAUCCUGUUCUUUCCUCCUCCUCCAUAACUCACUUUCAUCUUCAAAAAAGACUGUAACACACCAUCUUCCAAACCAAAUAACCAUCUGCUUGUUUUCUGAGUUCAACACAAUCAUCAUGCACGGGUCAGAGGGAGGAAUAUGGAGAGAGGAGAACCAUCGCAGACCUUGCUUCUAUUUUUCUUCUUCGCCAGUGUCGCAUUGGGUAGAAUCCAUCGUAGGUCUUGCUUCUUCAACCCUAAAAGUCGUAGCAGGUUGCAUCUCGAUUCUGUCAGAUAAGAUCCAAUACAUGGGAGCUGCAACAGUGAUUAUCGUCUACGUCAUCCCUGACUGGAUGAUUAUGCCUCAUGAAACCAACACUUCAUCCCAUAUAAUUGAGGAUAAUAGAGUUCUUCUUGAGUUGUUUAACUUCACACCAAAGAAAUAGGUUGCAUCGAGCAUGUAGACAUGGACUUUUAGAAACAAAGGUGGUUUCAUGUUGAAGGUUCAGAACUCACUAUUGCAUUCCUAUAUGCCUUCAUGGAAGAUGAUGGUGGCACACUUAGUACUUUCAAAUACUUAUUUUGAUCGUGGGUUUAUUUGAAAAUCCUGAAGCAACGUUAGACUCAUUGGCGGUUUGUGGGACAAUACUCGAAUGGGUGUUGAUGUAUCAAUCAAGUUUAUUGUU